rnacentral:rRNA from 1 species
AGCAUACUGCCGUGAAUACGUUCCCGGGCCUUGUACACACCGCCCGUCACACCAUGAGAGUUGGGGAUACCCGAAGCCUGUGAGCCAACAGUUAAUGGGCAGCAGUCGAAGGUAGAAUCAAUGAUUGGGUGAAGUCGUAACAAGGUACC